GUAUAUUGUAUAUUAUUUGGAUUAUAUUUUAAAAGAUGCUGUAUUGUUAUAAUGCAGUUAUGAUUUUGGUAAUAUAUACAAUUAUUGAAUUAUUAUAUUCAUAAAAAAAGUAACUAUAUCUUUAUAAAUAUUAAUAAAACACUAUAUAUUUACAAAAAAGCAAGUAUAUCUUUAUAAAUAUUCUAUUUCACAGUUUUUUGUUAUAUGGUACGUGUCUCAUUAAGUUUAACUAUCAUAAUUCAUUUAGUUGUUUUAAUAGCUUUAUUUUGUUUUAGUUUAAAUAGAAAUUUGAUUAAUUUGGUCAAGAUCAAAUCUAGUGUUAAGCUCAAUAUACUGUUUUAAACGAUUACUUUGAUGUAGAAUGUGUUAAAAAAUCUCAUUUGUAUAAAAAUAUAUAGAAGUAUAUAAAGCCAACACAUUAACAAUGAUUUGUCACCAAGCAUAUUGAGGAGCAACCCAAUUUCUUCAGAAGCAAAAAUGUAACUGAGAGUUUUUAAGUUAACUGGGAGUUUCAAAUAGUAAUUGUCAUGAUUGCACCAUUUAAUCAGCCAACUACACCAGAAAAAAUCUAUUUCAAUAAAGUUCACCUACAGAUAGAUAGUGAUGUGGGGCAAUCCUUUGAUCAUCUCAAAAACCAUUGGAUGUCACAAGAGACGUGAAGCACUUCAGUGCUCCUAAACAUAUGCUUACCCAAACUAUAUAUUGCAAAAUAUAUUUUAAGUGUAAGUUGCUGGAAAACUUUUACAAUUCUUUAGGAUUAGAAAUUCCAGAUGACAUAAAAUUUGAGGACAACAACGAAGAUGAUGUACACUAUGUUCAGGUUGAAUUUACACAAGUCAACCAAUUUGACUUGGCAUUGUACAAAGAACACUAGUUAAAACUAUGUUAUUAAAUUGAAGGGGAUAAGGGGAUAUAUAUGAUUUACGUGAUAUUUAUGAAUGAAAAAAAUGAAAGUUUUUUUUUACUU